UACUUGUUAAGCCAAAUGAAAGCCCUGAAUAGGGAAUUGAUUAUCCUAAAGAACUUCAAUGGGAUUACCAUCGGGGUAUUAUGAAGAAUAUACAGGAGCUGUGGCAUAAAUAUCAUUUUUAUAAGGUUUACUCUUCCCACCAGGGACAUUUUCAGCUUUGACCAUAUUUUUGCCUUGUCUCUAAUCCGGUUCAGUAAGGGAGAAAGGUUUAGAGUGAUAUAAUCACGUGGUUGUGGUGUGACCCAAAUGCCCAAGUACUUAAAUUUCACUGAUACGGGAAUAUUCUGCAGCACGGGGCUCUCUGGGGCUGUAGAGUCCAGCCUCAUAAUUGCUGACUUGGUCCAAUUGUUUUUCACGCCAGAGUACGAACCAAACCUUUGAAUCACUGCCAUGGCCUCCCCCAGGGAACCUGACGUGUCCCCGAGCAGCAACAUAGUAUCGUCUGCAUAGAGCAUAAUCUUUUCAUGUAUUUGUCCAUAUUUAAAGCCGGUUAUUAAGGGGUUGGAACGCACCAUCUCAGCCAUAGGUUCUAUGGCGAUGGCGAAUAGCAGGGGCGACAGGGGGCACCCCUGGCAGGUUCCUCUGUGUAAUGGGAAGGGGGAAGACCCCCUGCCUGCCUCUCUAAUGACCGCCGAAGGGGAGUUAUACAAAAGUUGAACCCAGGAUUGGAAUAUCGGUCCAAAGCCAAAUUUGGACAAUGUCGCCCAUAGGUAUUGUCAUUCAAUGCUAUCAAAUGCUUUAUGCGCAUCAAGCGACAGCAGUGCCCUAUCCCCAAAAUUGUCAGCCGGGGACUGUAUGUUAAGAAAAAGUCUCCGGAGGUUGAUGGCAGUGGACCUUUCCGGUAUAAAACCGGAUUGAUCCGGGUGAAUAAUAUACGCUAUUACCUUAUUAAGUCUUACAGCUAAUACCUUGGCAAGAAUUUUUAUAUCAGUCUGGAGGAGCGAUAUCGGCCUGUACGAGCCCGGAUCUAGCGGGUCCUUCCCCGGUUUAAGUAAUAGGACUAUGCUCGCCUGCCUCAUAGUCAGGAAGUUGCUGCAAGACCCUGGCUGAGUUCAGUGUACGGAGCAAUCUCGGUAGGAUUACAUCACCGUACUGUUUAUAGACUUCAAUUGGGAUGCCGUCGUCCCCGGGUGCCUUGGAAUUGGGAAAGGAGUUGGUAGCAAGAACCAUCUCCUCAAUAAUAAUGGGAGCCUCUAGAGUCUCCGCCUGGGACUCCGUCGGACACGGUAGCUCUAUCCCCUGCAGAAAAUCCCGAACCUCCUCCACUGUGUGGGCCUGCCUCGUGCCGUAUAGCUCUGAGUAGAAGUCCACCAGUUCACCCAUCACCAGAUCCGGGGCAUUCACCACCCUCCCCAAUUAAUUUUUUAUGGGGAUGACUCCUGCGAGUGUACUAUUUUGGCCAGCAGUCUGCUCCCCCUCCUCAUAAAAGGCUAAUUUAUUAAAGAACCUUUUCUUGUCCGCGGCAGAAGCAUCAAUUCUGCUAAGUGCAUCUUGAGCUGCUCUCCACGCCUCACGAGAGCCCUCCCCUGAGUUUGCAAUGUAUUCUGCCUCUAGGCGUUUAACCAUCUGUGCAGCCUGCUCUCUAUGGAGAGUUGUAUUAUGCUUAACAUCGUUAACCUCCGAUAUUACGCUGGGAGACUGUUUCUCCCCCUUUCUAUUGGUUGUUUUCCCUUUUUUUGUUAAGCCUGUAUUACUUCUACAAGCUGCUUUGCCUGCCACUGGUUCAGUUUGUGGUUUAUUGUUUGCUGGAAAUUUGAAAAUGGAUUUUGUAGGGGAUGCCUGGUCGUUUUAUAUGAAGGAAAUACAUACCAACUGUAAUAUUGACACUAGGGAUGACCUAGGUUUGAAUCAAUACAUGACUAAAGCAAGGAGACUUCUCAAGAAGAAGUCGAACCUAUACUGGCAUAUUGAAUUCUUUCAACAGUAUAUACAGGAUAGAGUCUGCCCAGUGGGUCUCAGAAUCCAGUUGUUCCCAUCGUUUGGAAACUCCACACCAGAGUUUAGACGAAACUGGGAAUCUGAGCUCACAAGAUGCAGUACAGAACUGAUUAAAAUACUAGUUACCCAGUAUAAAUCCGAUCUCCAAGCGCUUGACCAGGAAUUAGUCGCCCUACAAACCCAAUAUGAUUAUGUCAAAAGCCACAAACUGUUUGAGAAAAAAUGGCAGGAGCUGAAAGAAUAUCUUACCAAACUCAUUAAGGAUAUUAUAUCAAAGAAACAGACAAAAAUCUACAAAGACAAAAUGGCCUUUACUGAGGGCUUUGCCUAUCACUGGAAUUCAACAGCACCGAAUUCCAGGAAGGGCAAGCCAGGCCGGAGACCUAACACCAACUUGGUAUAAAGCUCUAGAGAGGAGGAUUCUGAGUCCGAUUCAUCAAUACCCCCCUAAUGUCUCACCCUUCCACUUCCUUCCCCUCUUCUGGGACACGUCCCUAUACCAAUGCCAACACUCGCAAAAGGGGACAUAAUGGUACUCACCUGGCCACACUACUUCCUAAAAAAAACGUCCAGAGACGAAUUUGGGCCCUAUAGCACGUACAGGGCACCCACAGCAAGGAACGUCACAUAUAGGUACAAGUGGAGGUACUGCUGUCCCGGGACAGCAGCUCAACUACCUGGGACCAAUAGCAUCCCAAGCUUUACAAAUGCUGCAACCCACUGAAAGGGGAGACACUCCCUUACAAGCCCAAAGAUCUAACUUACCUAAUAUGGGGCAACAACCUGUACGCACAACACAAAAUACCUCACUUUUGUCACCUAGUCUGGUUAAUGCGGGUAUCACCGCUACCAGACAAAGCACACUAGAUUCUCACCUAGCCUCUUCUGGGCCCUCAGUCUAAUUUUCCAUUGGCCCUGUCACAAACUCCCCAAACGUAGGGUGCAGUAUCAUCAAUUUGACCCCCUACAACUUCUCUGAAGAAGAGUUGGAAGUGCUACAUUUUGGACUCAGUUUUUGUCCCACAUCACAACUUGACAAAUAUGAUACGAUCGAAGAUUUCUAUCUCUUCGCUAGAAAAUUGACAUACAAAUACCUAUUCGAUCAGGAUCGACUACGAUCCAAGAAAGACAAAGAACUAGCUGAAAGGAUCAAACACUUUACGAUGGCCGAAUUCCAUGCCUUCAGAGAUUUGGUAUUACUAUUAGAGGAAAAUUAAUUAGAACAAACACCCUCUGGGUCAUCUAAUGUUGAUAUACCUGCACCCUCUACUAUUGUAUUGCCUAGUCGCAAAUUUAAACCCAAAUCAACGAAAUUCCCGGAUCUUACCACCAACUCCUUUGUCUGGACUUUUUUAUUGGCUACCGUUAAACUACUUGACAUUAAUCCCAAACAACCCAAUCUGACGCAACAACAAAUACAUUCUAUUGGCAAAUUAAAGAACCACUCGGAUCUUAUAAUUAAACCCUCCGACAAAGGAGGUAACAUUGUACUGUUCACUCACGAACAAUACAUCAAAAUGUGUAUGGACAUUUUGUCCAAUCUUUCCUGGUAUCAUAGAAUUGCAGUGGUUUCAGUGGCACACUACACGAAUGAGUACAAAGCAUUGAUAGGUGAGGCAUUUAUGAAAGGUACGAUAGAUCAAGAAACUUAUGAUUACCUUAACACCAAAUUCCCAUGGGCACCUACAUUUUAUGCCCUACCCAAGGUACAUAAGAACUUAAAAGCCCCCCCCCGGUAGGCCUAUUGUAUUUGGCAUUGGAUCUAUUACUGAAAACGCGAGCAGAUUCAUCGAUUUUUUUUUUUCUUGACACCACAUGUCACGCGACUACCAUCAUUUGUUAAGGAUACAUUGGAUCUCCUGAAACAAACUGAGGGAAUGCCUGUCCCUUCUGACGCCCUGCUUGUGACUCUGGAUGUGGAGGCCUUGUACUCCAGUAUCCCUCACGAGCAGGGCGUCGGAAUGGCACGCACUUUCCUCAUGGAACAAGACCACCACUCAUGGCCAUUUAAUGAAUUUAUUUUAAAAUUACUCAUGUUCAUCUUGACUCAUAACUGGUUCACCUUCAAUGGCUCCCACUACCUCCAGGUACAGGGCGUGGCCAUGGGCACUUGCUGUGCACCGUCCUACGCAAACCUGUACCUGGGGGGGUGGGAGCGGGACAUCUUUGCAGAUGAACAGUUGUCUGAAUAUACCAAUCAGGCACCGGUAUGGCUUCGUUAUAUUGACGAUAUUUUUUAAGUUUGGACCGAUUCGCAGUCGGCCCUGACUGAAUUCGCCAAUGUAUUGAACAAUAACAACUACAAUUUGAAAUUCACGGUCAGUAGUCAUCCCCGUAGGAUCUCUUUCCUUGAUGUUGAAGUUUUCAUCGAUCGUGACAACCACCUAGCAUCCACCUUAUACCUCAAGGAAACCGCGGGUAAUACCAUCUUACACUCGGCGAGUGCACAUGCCACCCCGCUGAAACGCAGUAUACCCUAUGCACAAUACCUUAGAUUAAGGCGUAAUUGUACACACGAUGCAGAUUUCAAACAUCAUGCCAAUCUGUUAAGAGAUCGUUUACUGGCACAGAGAUAUUCCAAAACCCUGUUGCGUAAAGCGUACAAUCGAACAAUACAACAAUCUAGAAACUCAUUGCUGCACCAAGUUCGCACACCACAGGACCCUUAUGGCUCUGUUAAAUUCAUUACCAAGUACUCUGACCAACAGACUGAAUUGAGAGAGGUAAUCACCAAAGACUGGCACAUUUUGCUGGAGGAUUCAAUCCUCAGCAAAUAUGUGGGUGAACGCACUGAGAUGGUGUUUAGGCGAUCAACAUCGCUAAGAGACCAACUUACUUGUAGCCACUAUGCCCCCGGGGGGCGAAUUGUUCCGUCUGCCAAGGGUAUCUUUAGGUGUGGACAUUGUGCAUUUUGCCAAUAUAUUGCAACAGGAAACAAAUUUAUCUUACCCAAUGGUGAAAGAUUUAAACCAAGGUUUAGAGCAGAUUGCGACACUAUGGGUGUGGUUUAUCUUAUGACGUGUUCUUGUGGUGUCUAUUAUGUCGGAAAGACUAUCCGGCCACCACGUCAUCGUAUAAGAGACCAUGUAUAUUAUUCCUCUAGUGGCAAAAUCCUGACACCCGUAAGUCGCCAUCUAGAUCUUUACCAUCUGUUUAAUACAUCUUCAGCCUCAUUCUCGGUUCUCGCUGUGAUUGAACGCGACCCAAGAGGAAGCGAUUGGGACAAAAAAAUCCUACAAAGUGAAACAAAAUGGAUUGAAAGACUCAAUGCCACCCAACCUCCGGGUAUUGACGAAGUACAAACGUACAAAUCAUUUCUCUGAUAAACCAUGCUGCGACCUUUAGGGCCGCAUUACAGUUUUGUAUAUAACAGUUUUAUGUGAUCUAUGAGAUUGCAACAUGGAGGUCCUUUCAUGGAGUAUUUUUGUAUUUUGGAACAUUACUACUUUAAGGGCUCGCCUGAAAAAGAUAAAAGCCUUCAAGUGUUCUAUCUAUUAUAUACAAAUACUGAUAGUACGUUUUUCUGAGUGAUAUCUGCGGCUCUGCUCCCCCCUCCCCGCCGUGUGCCCUUUAUAAUAAUGUUUCCAUUUUCUUCUUCCUUUCUGCUCCUUAUCAUUUUUUGAUUAUCUUAUUACGACUAAGAUGAUAAUAAUAUUUUGUUCUGAAAAAAUGUCUAUGUAAUUUGCUUUACAAACUGAGAUACUCUGUAUAUUGACUGUCAUCCACACGCAGCUGUUAGGUGGAUAGACAUACUACUUUAAACACACUUUUUGCUUUUUUGGCACAGUAUUCUUACUGUUGUAUGCUUAUGGUCUAGGUUGCACCAAUGUCACUGUGGAUUUGCGCGUCCCUCGGGGGUUCACUGCUGGAUCUGUACAGCCAGGUGACCAUGGCGUGUUUACACGCCGUGGUUACUGGGGAUUAAGUGGAGCAUUUCCCCCGUUCAGCGCUGCCUUAAUGGUUCUGCCAUCGGGAAUAUGCGGUGGACUCGGGACACGCCCUGACUCCUUCCAUUGGCGGGACAUGCAUCUCCGCUCCUCCCCUCCCCGUCGAACCCGCCCUGCAGUGUGUAAGCCUGCUGUGAGCGUCAUGUGACGCUCGCAGGGCUUUACAGCAGGGUGAUUGGUCCGCGGGGAUACUGGCUGAGUCACGUGAUGCGGAAGUCCCACCCGCACACGUGACUGGAGACAUGCCUUUAUAAUGGAACAGACAGCCCAAGUGAGUAGAGGCUCUCUCCCCACUGCUACAAGCCCUUUCCAUUAUGACGGCCGAUAUUUGACACCCAUCCAGCUUACAGCAGCAUCUCUGAUUUCCUGAUCUCUGUCUGCAGGGAUGUUUUCUUCUCCCUGCUCUUAUGGUAUUUUUUCCUCAUGCUUACACAUGCAGGUUAGACCUGCACCAUUCUACCCGUUUACUAAUCUGAUCAGCUCCUUGUUUGCUGCACUAUAUAUCUGGAAUAUUUAUAGCUCCCGAAGAAGCACUAAAACUGCGAAACAUGUAGAGCUUAUGCGAAAUUACGUCUACUAACAACCACGCUGGUCAUCAAUCCACGUUGCUGUCCCUAGUGGACUUGUAUUGGUUUUAGGGGAUUUAUCCUCAUUUGUUUUCAUCACAGGAAUGUUCUGUGACAAUUUAUGUGUUUUUUAAAAAUGAAUGUUUUAUAUGUACUGUAAUAUUGGUUCAUUACCCAUUUUUGGGGUUGUAUCAAUAAAUUAUUAUUUUUUGUCAACUA